UACAGAGGCCCCAAGCAUUAUCCGGAAUCACUGGGCGUAAAGGGUGUGUAGGCGGCUUUGCUAGUCUUUUGUGAAAGAUCCCCGGCUUAACCGGGGAGACGCAGGGGAAACGGCAUCGCUUCGAGGGUAUGAGAGGUAAAGGGAACUCAUGGUGUAGGGGUGAAAUCCGUUGAUAUCAUGGGGAACACCAAAUGCGAAGGCACUUUACUGGCAUACUCCUGACGCUGAAACACGAAAGCGUGGGAAUCGAAUGGG
rnacentral:rRNA from 1 species